CUACUACUCCCUCCGUCCGAAAAUACUUAUCAUUGAAAUGGAUGUAUCUAGAUGUAUUUUAGUUCUAGACACAUCCAUUUUGAUGACAAGUAAUUCCGGACGGAGGGAGUAUUAU
rnacentral:pre_miRNA from 1 species